GCUAGCUUAGUUGGUUAGAGCAUGGUGCUGAUAAUGCGAAGGUUGCAGGUUUGGUCCCUUCCAACUGCA